UACGUAGGGGGCAAGCGUUAUCCGGAUUUACUGGGUGUAAAGGGAGCGUAGACGGCAAUACAAGUCGGAAGUGAAAUACCCGGGCUUAACCUGGGAACUGCUUUGGAAACUGUAUGGCUGGAGUGCUGGAGAGGUAAGCGGAAUUCCUAGUGUAGCGGUGAAAUGCGUAGAUAUUAGGAGGAACACCAGUGGCGAAGGCGGCUUACUGGACAGUAACUGACGUUGAGGCUCGAGAGCGUGGGGAGCAAACAGG
rnacentral:rRNA from 1 species